rnacentral:rRNA from 1 species
GACGUAGGGUGCAAGCGUUGUCCGGAUUUAUUGGGCGUAAAGGGCUCGUAGGCGGCUUGUUGCGUCGACUGUGAAAACCCGCGGCUUAACUGCGGGCUUGCAGUCGAUACGGGCAGGCUAGAGUUCGGGAGGGGAGACUGGAAUUCCUGGUGUAGCGGUGAAAUGCGCAGAUAUCAGGAGGAACACCAAUAGCGAAGGCAGCUCGCUGGGACGUUACUGACACUGAGGCGCGAAAGCGUGGGGAGCGAACAGG